rnacentral:SRP_RNA from 1 species
GCCAGGUGUGGUGGUGCGUGCCUAUAGUCCUAGCUACUCGGGAGGCUGAGGCAGGAGGAUCACCUGAGUCCAGGAGUUCUGGGCUGCAGUGCACUAUGCCGAUGGGGUGUCUGCACUAAGUUUGGCAUCAAUAUGGUGACCUCCCGGGAGCAGGGGACCACCAGGUUGCCUAAGGAGGGGUGAACCAGCCCAGGUCGGAAACGGAGCAGGUCAAAACUCCUGUGCUGAUCAGAAAUGGAAGAUGAAGUAGAGGAAUUAGAUCAAACAGUAAAAGAUCAUGAA